rnacentral:rRNA from 1 species
UACGAAGGGGGCUAGCGUUGCUCGGAAUCACUGGGCGUAAAGCGCACGUAGGCGGACUCUUAAGUCGGUGGUGAAAGCCUGGAGCUCAACUCCAGAAUUGCCUUUAAGACUGCAUCGCUUGAAUCCAGGAGAGGUGAGUGGAAUUCCGAGUGUAGAGGUGAAAUUCGUAGAUAUUCGGAAGAACACCAGUGGCGAAGGCGGCUCACUGGACUGGUAUUGACGCUGAGGUGCGAAAGCGUGGGGAGCAAACAGG